AUUGAACGCUGGCGGAAUGCUUUACACAUGCAAGUCGGGCGGCAGCGCGGGGGGCAACCCUGGCGGCGAGCGGCGAACGGGUGAGUAACACAUCGGAACGUACCCUGUCGUGGGGGAUAACGAAUCGAAAGAUUCGCUAAUACCGCAUACGACCUGAGGGUGAAAGCGGGGGAUCGCAAGACCUCGCGCGAGAGGAGCGGCCGAUGGCGGAUUAGCUAGUUGGUGGGGUAAAGGCCCACCAAGGCGACGAUCCGUAGCGGGUCUGAGAGGACGGCCCGCCACACUGGGACUGAGACACGGCCCAGACUCCUACGGGAGGCAGCAGUGGGGAAUUUUGGACAAUGGGGGCAACCCUGAUCCAGCCAUGCCGCGUGUGUGAAGAAGGCCUCGG
rnacentral:rRNA from 1 species